rnacentral:rRNA from 1 species
UUCCACCUCUUCCCAUUCCGAACAGAGAAGUUAAGCUUCGCAUCGCCGAUGGUACUGCGCAAGUGGGAGAGUAGGCAGCCGCCGUUU